rnacentral:rRNA from 1 species
AUACGGAAGGUCCGGGCGUUAUCCGGAUUUAUUGGGUUUAAAGGGAGCGCAGGCGGAGAUGCAAGCGUGACGUCAAAUUUCGGGGCUCAACCCCGUCUCGCGUCGCGAACUGCGUCCCUUGGUUGCGGGAAGGGGAGGCGGAACUCGUGGUGUAGCGGUGAAAUGCAUAGAUAUCACGAAGAACUCCGAUCGCGAAGGCAGCCUUCCGGCCCGUCAACGACGCUCAUGCUCGAAGGUGCGGGUAUCAAACAGGAUUAGAUACCCUGGUAGUCCGCACAGUAAACGAUGGACACCCGCGGUUUGGCCUGUAUGGCUGAGCCGCCAAGCGAAAGCGUUAAGUGUCCCACCUGGGGAGUACGCCGGCAACUGUGAAACUCAAAUGAAUUGGCGGGG